rnacentral:rRNA from 1 species
UACGAAGGGGGCUAGCGUUGCUCGGAAUCACUGGGCGUAAAGCGCACGUAGGCGGAUUGCUAAGUCAGGGGUGAAAUCCUGGAGCUCAACUCCAGAACUGCCUUUGAUACUGGCGACCUUGAGUCCGGGAGAGGUGAGUGGAACUGCGAGUGUAGAGGUGAAAUUCGUAGAUAUUCGCAAGAACACCAGUGGCGAAGGCGGCUCACUGGCCCGGUACUGACGCUGAGGAACGAAAGCCAGGGGAGCGAACGGG